UACGUAGGGUGCGAGCGUUAAUCGGAAUUACUGGGCGUAAAGCGUGCGCAGGCGGUUUUGUAAGCCGGAUGUGAAAUCCCCGGGCUUAACCUGGGAAUGGCAUUCGGGACUGCAAGGCUGGAGUGCGGCAGAGGAGACUGGAAUUCCUGGUGUAGCAGUGAAAUGCGUAGAUAAUCAGGAGGAACACCAAUGGCGAAGGCAGCACUCUGGGACGUGACUGACGCUGAGACGCGAAAGCGUGGGGAGCAAACAGG
rnacentral:rRNA from 1 species